AGGGGAAUAUUGCACAACGGGGGAAACCCUGAUGCAGCGACGCCGCGUGAGCGAAGAAGGUUUUCGAAUCGUAAAGCUCUGUCCUAUGGGAAGAUAAUGACGGUACCAUAGGAGGAAGCCCCGGCUAACUACGUGCCAGCAGCCGCGGUCAUACGUAGGGGGCAAGCGUUGUCCGGAAUCACUGGGCGUAAAGGGUUCGCAGGCGGAAAUGCAAGUCAGUUGUGAAAGGCAGAGGCGCAACCUCUGUAAGCAAUUGAAACUGUAUUUCUUGAGAAGUGGAGAGGCAAGUGGAAUUCCUAGUGUAGCGGUGAAAUGCGUAGAUAUUAGGAAGAAGUCCGGUGGCGAAGGCGACUUGCUGGACACAAACUGACGCUGAGGAACGAAAGCGUAGGUAGCAAACAGG
rnacentral:rRNA from 1 species